AGAGUUUGAUCCUGGCUCAGGAUGAACGCUGGCGGCGUGCCUAAUACAUGCAAGUCGAGCGAACGGACGAGAAGCUUGCUUCUCUGAUGUUAGCGGCGGACGGGUGAGUAACACGUGGAUAACCUACCUAUAAGACUGGGAUAACUUCGGGAAACCGGAGCUAAUACCGGAUAAUAUUUUGAACCGCAUGGUUCAAAAGUGAAAGACGGUCUUGCUGUCACUUAUAGAUGGAUCCGCGCUGCAUUAGCUAGUUGGUAAGGUAACGGCUUACCAAGGCA
rnacentral:rRNA from 1 species